AUGCGACCUCUUUCACUCUAUCGUUCAGUUGCUUGCUCUCCCUCUCUCUCUCCACCUCUCCCUACCUCUCCCUCUCUCUCUCCACCUCUCGCUCUUUCUCUCUCCACCUCUUUCUCUCUCCCACCAUUUCAAAGUAAAUCAGUCUUUAAAAUUAAAGUAUUUUCUAGCACCAAAAAGACAUGCGCGCNCACACACACACACACACCUACUCUGUGUAAAUGGAGACAACAAUUUCCCACUACUCUCCCUUCGGUGCCUGGACCUGCUAAGCUCAUCAGUCAGUCUGCUAAAGUCAUCUGAUCUGAAAAACAUGUUAUUGUACUGGGACUCCUCAUUUACUGGAAGACAGACCUCGCCUAAGACACUACACUGAACAAAAAUAUAAACGCAACAUGUAAAGUGUUGGUCCCAUGUUUCAUGAGCUGAAAUAAAGGAUCCCAGACAUUUUCAAAUGCACAAGAUGUCUAAAAUUCUGGACACUAAUCUGUUUACAUCCCUGUUAGUGGGCAUUUCUCAUUUGCCAAGAGAAUCCAUCCACCAGACAGGUGUGGCAUAUCAAGAAGCUGACUAAACGGCAUGGUCUUACACAGGCGCACCUUGUGCUGGGGACAAUAAAAGGCAACUCUAAAAUGUGUCACACAACACCACAGAUAUCUCAAGUUUUGAGGGAGCGGGAUUUUUUAAAGUAAUUUUUUAUUGAACCUUUAUUUAACUAGGCAAGUCAGUUAAGAACAAAUUCUUAAUUACAAUGACGGCCUAGGAACAGUGGGUUAACUGCCUUGUUCAGGGGCAGAACGACAGAUUUUUACCUUGUCAGCUGGGGAUUCGGUCUAGCAACCUUUUGGUUACUGACCCAAUGCUCUAACCACUAGGCUACCUGCCUCCCCAGCAUGCUGCAGGAAUGUCCACUAGGGCUGUUGCUAGAGAAUUUAAUGUUUAUUUCUCUACCAUAAGCCACCUCCAACGUCGUUUUAGAGAAUUUGGCAGAACGUUCAACCGGCCUCACAACCGCAGACCACAUGUAUGGUGUUGUGUGGGCAAAUGGUUUGCUGAUGUCAACGUUGUGAACACCCCAUGGUGGCGGUGAGGUUAUGGUAUGGGCAGGCAUAAGCUACCAACAACAAACACAAUUUCCUUUUAUCGAUGGGAAUUUAAAUGCACAGAGAUACCGUGACAAGAUCCUGAGGCCCAUUGUUGUGUCAUUCAUCCGCCGCCAUGUUUCAGCAUGGUAAUGCACGUCCCCAUGUCACAAGGAUCUGUAAAAAAUCCUGGAAGCUGAAAAUGUGGCAGUUUUUUCAUGGCCUGCAUACUCACCAGACGUGUCACCCAUUGAGCAUGUUUGGGAUGCUCUGGAUCGAUAUGUACGGCAGCGUGUUCCAGUUCCCAACCAAUAUCCAGCAACUUCGCACGGCCAUUGAAGAGGAGUGGGACAACAUUCCACAGGCCACAAUCAACAGCUUGAUCAACUCAAUGUGAAAGAGAUGUGUUGCGCUGCAUGAGACAAAUAGUGGUCAUAACCGGACACUUACUGUUUUUUUACCUACCUUGUUUUCAAAGGUAUCUGUGACCAACAGAUGCAUAUCUGCAUUCCCAGUCAUGUGAAAUUCAUAGAUUAGGGCCAAAUGAAUUUAUUUUAAUUGACUGAUUUCCUUAUAUUUAUUUUUAUUUUUAUUUUUAUUUUACCUUUAUUUAACCAGGCAAGUCAGUUAAGAACAAAUUCUUAUUUUCAAUGACGGCCUGGGAACAGUGGGUUAACUGCCUGUUCAGGGGCAGAACGACAGAUUUGUACCUUGUCAGCUCGGGGGUUUGAACUCACAACCUUCCGGUUACUAGUCCAACGCUCUAACCACUAGGCUACCCUGCCGCCCCUUAAUGAAUAUGAACUGUAACGAAGAAAAAAACUUUCAAAUUGUUGCAUGUUGCAUUUAUAUAUUUUGUUCAGUAUAGUUUGGUUCAGUCGUUUGGAUUGUCAUUGAUUUACACAAAAAAAUAUGCAGCGUAAUCAUCUGAUUUUGUACAACUCAUUCUUGCUUUCAUGUUUGUUUUCAACGGCAUCUUUCACUUGAUUGAGUCGGCGACAGUCACUGGGAAUGUUUGCUGUCAUUUCUGCUAUUUCUGAGAUCCAAACAUUGCCCCAAAUAAAAGGGGAUUUCAACAUCAAAACAAAUAUAUCACAACACAGCUGUUUAAUGAUCAAAAAGCCCCAGAGGAAACACAAAUCGCUCCCCCUGUAAGCCUAAACCCACCUCGACAGCCACAAUGACUUAUUCAUAUGGAAUUAAACAGGAUCACCGUUUUUACUGCUAACGUUUGCCAAAAAUACACAUUAAAGGAACACAUCCGCUUCCCUUCCGGAGAUGAAAACAGGGCCGUAAUUGGUCUAUUUUGGGGUCAUCAUGUGUCAUGCUCUUCCUAACAAAUGAGAUUAGUCGUUUUGGCAGCAGGGUCCCCUGUUCUUUAUCUCUUCUCAGUUACAGGCGCUGACUGCAGUGGGUUUGCCUUCGAUUACUCUUGAUGAUCCUCCUUUCACGUGUCACUUCCUGCGUAUUAAUGGAGCGAAUCACAACAUCAAAUCAAAUUGUAUUAGUCAUAUGCGCAGAAUACAACAGUUGUAGACCUUACCGUGAAAUGCUUACUUACGAGUCCCUAACCAACAAUGCAGUUUAAAAAAUAUAUAUGAAUAAGAAUAAGAAACAAAAAGUAACAAGUAAUUAAAGAGCAGCAGUAAAAUAACAAUAGCGAGACAAUAUNNNNNNNNNNUGUACAUGUAGGUAGAGUUAUUAAAGUGACUAUCCAUAGAUGAUAACAACAGAGAGUAGCAGCGGUGUAAAAAGGGGGAGGGACAAUGCAAAUAGUCUGGGUAACCAUUUGAUUAGCUGUUCAGAAGUCCUAUGGCUUGGGGGUAGGCAUAUGUUGUGAAUGAGUAUAUUAUGACUGUAUGCCUGCAUUAUUUUCAGUGUACAUUUUUAUAGAGAGUUUACAGUACAUUUUUAGAGAGUUUUGCAUGUUUUAAGUUGUGACCAAUGAUUACCCCUUUAAAAUACCCUUGCCA
rnacentral:lncRNA from 13 species